rnacentral:rRNA from 1 species
UGCAGAGGUGCCAAGCGUUAGGCGGAAUCACUGGGCUUAAAGCGCGUGUAGGUGGACGGGUAAGUAUCUUGUGAAAUCCCACGGCUCAACCGUGGAACUGCUGGAUAUACUGCUUGUCUUGAGGCACUUAGGGGCAGCUGGAACAAAUGGUGGAGCGGUGAAAUGCGUAGAUAUCAUUUGGAACGCCAAAGGCGAAAGCAGGCUGCUGGGAGUGAUCUGACACUGAGACGCGAAAGCCAGGGGAGCAAACGGG